GUGGGGCUGGGUCUGCCUAGGAUCCAGGAUCACAGCACCUGAUUACAGUAUUGACACAGACAGUUAAAAAGCACUAGAAUACACCAAAGAAGUGCCGUACGGGAUCAACUUAAGAGUUGUGAUUUUGGGGAACCUGAAAGAAUAUUCCGAGGAAUCAAUUCCAUUUACAAGAAGUGUUUCAAAGUGUCAUCCCAUUAAGCAAAUCUCCAACAAUUGAAUAAUAAAUACAUUUCAUUAAAAAUGCUCAGGAAACUAUUGAGGAGCUAACAGAGAGUCUAAGAGAAGAGGAACAAUUAUUAAAGACUUUAAUGCAGAAGACUAAAGACAGAGAGUGUAUCAAAUAUGAGUUUAAACUGCAAAAGAGUCUACAAGUUCAUUUUAAUGAAUCCUCAACAGUUGAUAAUGUACAAGGAUGUAUCUUCUUAACAUACAAUUGUCGUGUUUUUUAAUUUAAUUAUUUACUUAAUAAUUUCUGGACUAUACACACAUACUUCUGCAUACAUUUACAAGUCCUCAUACAACAUCAA